CUCUCUCUCCGCCGCCGCAGCCGGCCCGGCUCCCGCCCGGCUCCGUGCGUGUGAUCGCCGUGCGUGUGUGUGUGUGACGGGGGCGCGCGUCUGCGCGAGCGUUGGGGGCCGUGUGCAUGCGGGGCGUGCGGGGGAGUGUGUUUGUGUGUGUGCGUGUGGGUGUGAGUGCCUGGCUCACUCUCGCUGAGACACACACAUACAUACACACACACUCACGCGCGCGCGCACACACACACACACACACAACCCGGCUGGCUCGUCUGAACUUGAAGACGCCCCACAUUCCAAGAUGCCCGAGGUUCCUGGGGUUGCCCGGGGUUCUUCAAUCUGGAAAAUCCUACCGGCAUCCUCCUAGGGAGGGAUUAUCUGGUUUUGAUUUUUUGUUUUUUGAAAUCUGGAAGAGAACAAGUUGUGCUUUUUCCUCCCUUCUUGCUAAAUGCCUUGGAUAUAACUGAAUAAGCCGAUCAGGGCUCUCCGCGUGGACGUUCGAGGCCACCAUCUGCCUGCGUUCGCCGGAGCCGGAGGGCUUAGCUCGAGCCGGUCUCUGGCGAGGAAGGAUGUGUGGCCGAGCCAGAGAGCCCGGGCGCCCCGCGGAGCCGGCCUCGGUGCCUCCCAGCCGGGGGUAGAUGCUGCCUCGCCCAGGCACCGUGGCCUGAGUGACCAGACCAUGGAGACUCUGCUUGGUGGCCUGCUGGCGUUUGGCAUGGCGUUUGCUGUGGUUGACGCCUGCCCCAAGUACUGUGUCUGCCAGAACCUGUCUGAGUCACUGGGCACCCUGUGCCCCUCCAAGGGGCUGCUCUUCGUGCCUCCCGACAUUGACCGGCGGACGGUGGAGCUGCGUCUGGGCGGCAACUUCAUCAUCCACAUCGGCCGCCAGGACUUCGCCAACAUGACGGGGCUGGUGGACCUGACCCUGUCCAGGAACACCAUCAGCCACAUCCAGCCCUUCUCCUUCCUGGACCUCGAGAGCCUCCGCUCCCUGCACCUCGACAGCAACCGGCUGCCCAGCCUCGGGGAGGACACCCUGCGGGGCCUGGUCAACCUGCAGCACCUCAUCGUGAACAACAACCAGCUGGGCGGCAUUGCUGACGAGGCCUUCGAGGACUUCCUGCUGACGCUGGAGGACCUGGACCUCUCCUACAACAACCUCCAUGGCCUGCCCUGGGGCUCCGUGCGGCGCAUGGUCAACCUGCACCAGCUGAGCCUGGACCACAACCUGCUGGACCACAUAGCCGAGGGCACCUUUGCUGACCUGCAGAAACUGGCCCGCUUGGACCUCACCUCCAACAGGCUGCAGAAGCUGCCCCCAGACCCCAUCUUCGCCCGCUCCCAGGCCUCUGUUCUGACGGCCACGCCCUUUGCCCCACCCUUGUCCUUUAGUUUUGGGGGCAACCCGCUGCACUGUAACUGCGAGCUUCUCUGGCUGCGGAGGCUGGAGAGGGACGAUGACCUGGAGACUUGUGGCUCCCCAGGGGGCCUCAAGGGCCGCUACUUCUGGCACGUGCGCGAGGAGGAGUUUGUGUGCGAACCGCCUCUCAUCACCCAGCACACGCACAAGCUGCUGGUGCUGGAGGGCCAGGCGGCUACGCUCAAGUGCAAAGCCAUCGGGGACCCCAGCCCCCUCAUCCACUGGGUGGCCCCUGAUGACCGCCUCGUGGGGAACUCCUCCAGGACGGCCGUGUAUGACAAUGGCACCCUGGACAUCCUUAUCACCACAUCUCAGGACAGCGGCGCCUUCACCUGCAUCGCUGCCAACGCGGCCGGGGAGGCCACGGCCACGGUGGAGGUGUCCAUCGUCCAGCUGCCACACCUCAGCAACAGCACCAGCCGCACCGCGCCCCCCAAGUCCCGCCUCUCGGACAUCACUGGCUCCAGCAAGACCAGCCGGGGAGGUGGAGGCAGUGGGGGCGGGGAGCCUCCCAAAAGCCCCCCGGAACGGGCCGUGCUGGUGUCCGAUGUGACCACCACCUCAGCCCUGGUCAAGUGGUCCGUCAGCAAGUCCGCCCCCCGGGUCAAGAUGUACCAGCUGCAGUACAACUGCUCCGACGAUGAGGUACUGAUUUACAGGAUGAUCCCAGCCUCCAACAAGGCCUUCGUGGUCAACAACCUGGUGUCAGGGACUGGCUACGACCUGUGCGUGCUGGCCAUGUGGGACGACACGGCCACGACGCUCACAGCCACCAACAUCGUGGGCUGCGCCCAGUUCUUCACCAAGGCUGACUACCCACAGUGCCAGUCGAUGCACAGCCAGAUCCUGGGCGGCACCAUGAUCCUGGUCAUCGGUGGCAUCAUUGUGGCCACGCUGCUGGUCUUCAUCGUCAUCCUCAUGGUGCGCUACAAGGUCUGCAACCAGGAGGUCCCCGGGAAGACGGCUGCUGCCGUCAGCAAUAUGCACUCACAGACCAAUGGGGCUCAGCCGCCUGCUCUGGGCAGUGCACAUAGCGGGGCCCCCAUGCCGGGGCCCCCCAAGGUGGUGGUGCGCAAUGAGCUCAUGGAGUUCAGUGCCAGCCUGGCCCGAGGCAGCGACUCCUCUUCCUCCAGCUCCCUGGGCAUCGGGGAGGCCAUGGGGCUGGGACGGGGCCCCUGGAGGCUCCCACCCCCUGCCCCCCGCCCCAAACCCAACCUUGAUCGCCUGAUGGGGGCCUUUGCCUCUUUGGACCUCAAAAGUCAGAGAAAGGAGGAGCUGCUUGACUCCAGGACUCCAGGCGGGAGAGGGUCUGGGACAUCAGCUAGGGGCCACCCCUCGGACCGAGAGCCACUGCUGGGGCCACCCGCAGCCCGGGCCAAAAGCCUCCUUCCCUUGCCCCUGGAGGGUAAGGCCAAACGCAGCCACUCCUUCGACAUGGGGGACUUUGCGGCUGCAGCUGCAGCAGCUGGAGGGGUUGCCCCAGGAGGCUACAGCCCUCCUCGGAGGGUCUCAAACAUCUGGACAAAGCGCAGCCUCUCUGUCAACGGAAUGCUCUUGCCCUUUGAGGAGAGCGACCUGGUGGGAGCCCGGGGAACUUUUGGCAGCUCCGAGUGGGUGAUGGAGAGCACGGUGUAGGCCCAGGGCAGUGGGCAUCCUGCCUCCCACCCUGCCAGGGUGGAAGAAGGGGAAAGCAUCUUCACUGGCAAGUCUUUGUGAAGUCUCCAUGGUGAUGUUUACAUCCAGGGACAGUUCUGUCUCCCUGUCAACGGCCUCCCCCUCCCCCACCACACCACCCACACCACCUUCCUAGGCCCGUCCCCCACCACCCAUCGGGGUGUGCUCAGGGAAAGCGGACUCCAUCGCUCAAAUGUCGGACUGAGCCCUGAGUGUUUGGAAAGGCGGAACUCCUGCCUUUCUAAUCACAAAUGUAGCCUAUAAGCAAGUGGCUUUGGAUUGCUGAUGGGUCCAGUGUUGUUUUUAUUUCUUAGUUUAUUUCUUCUACUUCCCAGACUCCUCUUCUGUCACAUAGAUAAUGGAGAGUUUACACAAGAAAGUAGGCUCCCAGCAGCCCUGGUAGUGGGCGAUCAUUGCCAAUUGAGAAGAGUAGGGAAUGAUUUGGGUUCCACAUUUGUUUAGGGGAAGACUGGAGUCCCCCAUGCAGACCCCUCAUUAUUCCCAAUAUUCUCCACACUUGGGAGGGGUGAGUGACCUCCCCCAUACCUGACCCAGCUUCCUUUGCUUCUCAAACAUGAUGCCCCACACCUCACAUCAGCUCAAACCAGAAGGGGAACUUCCAGGACUCCUAUGUGUGGGAGAGGGAGAAGAGCUUUAUGAGACAUAGGGGCAUAAGGGAUAUUAACUUUUGGAAUUGCUUUGGAAUUUUUGUCUCUUUUGGGGGAAGCUGAGUCAGGAAGUCCCCAUGAAUGUGUAGGGGACCAAGUGGGUUUCUCUUAAGGAAAGUUGGAUUGGGGGGAGGUGGGGCAGAAAGGAUCCCCAGUCACAGAGUCCAAAGCUCUGAGUUUGGGUUCCAGAGCCACCACCGAAUAACUGAAGACAGUGGGCAAGACCCUAAUUCAUAAAAUACUGAGAUCGUACCAGGUAUCCAACUCCCUCCCCGCUCAAAGGACUAAGUAACUCUUUGUGACUAAAUGAACUGUAGGGUUUUGAAACCUGAAGAGGUGUUUGCGAUCAUCUCAUCCUUAACCCUCUCUCUCCUUCCCCACAGAGUCUAAGGGACUUGCCCAAAGUCACACAGUGAGUUAGCAACCAUGUGAGGGCAGGGACCAAGGCCGCUUACCUCCUGGUGGUGGUGUGUGAAAUCCAUUACCCUGUCUUCACCGUGGCUAGGGUGUUUCUGUGCCCAGAGUCUGUCCCUUGUUUGUUCCUGAAGAAGGUGUGGGACACGGAGACAUGGAGGAUGCCUUCCAUGGAUGCCAUUUAUGAGGAGGAUGCGUCAUGGAAAUGACAGGAUGGUGAUGGGGGAGGGGGACACGGGCUCCUUUCUAUCUGGGGAUUAACACUCACGUCCCAGACAGUGGAGAGGGGGCAGAGGAGAUGUGCCUGGGGAGAAGGACUUCCCCCUGCAGCUCUGUCUCUCCUGGUCUCCGUCUGUUCCAGGUCUCUCCUCACUGCCAACGCACUACCUCUCCCUCGGUCUCCCCACCUCAUUCUUUCCUCUCCUGAGUCUCCCCUAUAGAUCCCUAGCCUCUCUCUCUGGUUCUUCUCCCUCCUUCCACUUGCCAACCACACAGCCUACAAAGUGCACAGGUGAGUCCAUUUCAGGCUGAAACAUUCUGAUGGGCUCAGGCCUGGAGCUGAGCUGGUGGCCCCCCCACCCCACCUAGCACACACAAGGAGAGGCAGGGAGCUGUCUAUGCAGGAUUGCCUUCUGGCUCCAGCCCAGGAGCCUCCAAAUCCCAUCACUUCGUCCUUCCUCCCAUCCUCCUCUCUCUCCUCACCUUCCCUCCUCUCCUGUCUUCAUUCUUCUUCUUCCAGUGCCUCCCUGUCUUCCCCAGUCCUUUUCUGGUCCUGACCAGGCCAUUAACAUUCCGCGCCAGUCUCUUCCUGAGACCACAGGCUGACUUUCCAGGCCAGCCCCAGGACCGGAGCACAAGCCAUCCGCAGUCCUGGUGGUGCCCUCAGCCUUAGGUGACUUGAAGGGAAAUCUCUACUCCUCCCCCUUUCCCUGCUCCUUUUUCCUGCUGCAUCUUUCUCACUCAACCUUUCUAAAUGUAGCCAUUGAGGAAGUGACCCCAAAUACCACCUCACUUUUUGCCUUUGGGUUCAGACACUCAAAGGGAAUGAGGUGGACGCCGGAAGGGGAGGAACCAACUGUCCUCGUCAGUGGCUCCCAGCUCUGUCGUGACAUGAUAUGUACUUGCGCUUGUGUUUGUCAGGUUUCUGACUUGGAAUUUGGGAAAGCGACAUCCCUGUGGGCAGAGUACAAAUGCCAAUCUUCUCCUUUGCUUAAAAGAAAAUGUACAGUAAAAUGUACAAUUUUAAAAACAGCAACCAACCACACUUCUUGGGGGAGAGAAAAAAAAAGAACAUUCCUGUGUCUGUGAAUGUCUGCUGUUUAUUUCUCUGGAAACACUGUGGUUUUCUGAAGGUGGCUUUGAGGUAGCCUUUUCCUGUACACCUGUGUUUGGUUUGGUACAGCCUGGUGAAAACCUGCUUCCUGCCAAGUUCAUGUGCAAGAUGGGAGCCUUCUGAGACAAGAGGGAGUGGGGCCACCCUCGGAGAAAAGGUCAGUAGAGGGUCUGGAAUGAAGCUCCAGGCUAAGAAGGGAUAGUCCGUCCCCAGCUGCCAUCUGAUACUCCAUCCUCUCUCCUUCCAGCCCUGCUUCCUUUUUCCUGGACAAUGGUCACCACCACACUUAGCCACUAGGGGCAUCCAAGCACCUUCCACCCAUUUUGGUUGCGCUCAAGAUGGCAUUUUUUUCAAAAGGGUCUUUUACUAGGGAACCUGGACCACAAACCGAAGCACAAACCCAUGGUAGAGAAACAAAUGAGCUUCUGGAACACAGCUUCUCAACCCUAUCUUCCUCUAAUGUCUCGAUCAGAACUGUCCAAGAGGAAUAAAGUUUCAGAUGAGCCGCCUUUAAAAUGCUUGGGAACCACCUGGUAUCAGUGUGGCUCCACACGCACAACCACAGACUUGCAAGCACAGCUUUUGGAAGGGGAAGGAAGCUAACAGUUACUGAGCACCUACCGUUCCGGUCCAUGCAUUUCUCACUGAAUCCUCACUGCAGCCUCUCGAGGUAA